rnacentral:lncRNA from 1 species
AAGAGACUUAAGUCAAUCUAAAGAGUCACAUAGUGUUUUAUUAAAUGAUUUUAUUUAUAUACCACUUGUCUGGUGAAAAUGGACAUUUGCAUGCCUAGCUUUCAGACUUGUUCAUAUGCUCAUCCUAUUUACCAAGCAAAAACUCCUUUCUAAAAUGUAUUUCUGUGUAAUUAGUCUAUGUUGGGCUUUCCUCUUUUUUCCUUAGAGACAGGGCAGCAGCAGCAACCAGUCAGAUUACAGAAGAUAUCUUGGCACCCUCUCUGCAGCCCAGCAUCCCUGCAGUCACUCAGUUCCCAGUUUGUCUGUCUCACAUGGCACUGGUCACGAUGCAGUGCUUUUAUGAGGACAAAGGGUAUAGGGUCUCCCUUGAACAAAAAUGUGAUUUUUGAAAGGUUUAGAAAUCCAAGUAUUUUGAACUUUUUUCAUCACUUCAGGUCCAUGUCUGCUUGGACAGGAAGGAAAAUGGACAAGGAAAAGAAAAGAAAAGGUAGCUGUGCGAGUUCUUCUGAAGCAGACCCUGUCUUUACCAAAGCAAAGUCUGUGAGAUCUGACAGAUCCAACUUCUUCAAAAGGUCAGGGGAUCAAUACUCCAACAUCAGAUCAGAGACCUCCUACACUGGGAGGAAGGCUAGGCAGUCUUCAGAGCUUACAAGGGCUAGUUCUGUCUCUGCUUCCCUCUGCCAAGAGGAAAAGAGGUCAGACAAAUGGAUGUAUAGGCAUGGCUCUAGACGUCGUGCUUCUGAGCAACAGAUAAUGGGUUUGGAUGAGGGCUCAAAUUCUCAGGCAGGACAUCCACCCCCUUUCCACCAACCCCUCAGCUGCAACUCAAUUUGUGGCUCACUGGCAAGGCAGCAUUCUUCUCUCCUACACCGGUUCAGCCAGACCCCAGACUACAGCUCAGAUUCAGAAGACACUCAGAGCUCCAACCACAGGAAGGUAAGACCUUCUGCUACUACUCAUUUCUCUGAAUCUGAAAAGAAUUCAUUAAUGAAAUCUGUAAUUUUGCCUGAGCUAGCUACUGUCUUAAAGGAUGCAUUCACAGCAGCCAGACAAAGUAUAACUUCUGUGGCACAGACUAGGUCACACUCAAUAAAGCAUCCCAGGAUACCAAUUACAGAAGUUCCAGUGGUUCCUCUAGAAGCAACGGGGAGCAGCUCCCAGACUUUUGAGUCUGAUCAAAUAGGCAGCUUAAAAGAUCAAGCAACUUCUGGGAAGGAGAGAGUUGAUGCUUACAAGGCUUUGGAAGUUGAUUCAUCCUCUGAAGAUGAGGAGGUGUCAUCUGAAUCCCCUACAGAAGAUGAAGAAGAACUAGAUGCUGUACGUAAGUUUGGCAUGGAAAAUCAGAGUUAUCUGUUCAAGCACAUUAAAAGAGUGUUAAUGCUGAAAACUUCCGAAGGUGAAUGCCCUUCAGGAGAAAUGCCUAUCUUAUCUGAAGAAGGCAAGGUAGAUAAUGCACUUCCUAUCCAUUCAACAGUGGAAAAUCUCAUCUGUAGGAUUUGGGGUAAUCCUGAGGCAAAACACGAAGCCCCAGAAAUCCUAAGUAAGCUGUAUCCUCUUCCAGUGGAUAAAGCUGCUUUGUGGGGGACCUUGCCUAAGGUAGACAGGCCACUGAUUACUGCUGAUUCUGUGCUUUCAAUGCCUGCUAACAUGGAUGCUCUCCCUAAAGAUCUUACUGAUAGAAAGAUUGAGGAAGAAAUCAAAAGAUCUUUCAAGCUGGUUGCAGCCCAGCUUGGAGUGUCUAUCUACUGCACUUAUGCUUCUAAAGCAUUACUAGUAUGGCUGGAGGAAGAACAAGCCAGAGUCAAAAGAAAAUGGGUCCCAUCUGGUGCCAUACAGAGGAAGCACAGACUCUGUAAACUUGCAGCCAAUUUUAUCCAUGAUGCAGCUGAGGAUUCUCUUAGACUCACAGUUAAAAAUAUGGCAUGCCUCACAGUAGCCUGGAGAGCUAUAUGGCUGCGUCCUUGGACCUCAUCUCUAGAUCUCAGAUGUCGGCUGUUUUCUUUACCGUACACUGGUGGCAAGCUAUUUGGUGACUCCUUGGUCCAGGUCCUGAAGGACUUUGCAGAACACAAACAUUCCUUACAUCAGAUGAAAAAAAAAUGCUCUUUUGGCCGUUCGUUUUCUUAUCCUCACAAGUCUCAGAGUUCCUUCCGUUCUCCUCCAAAGUUUAAAGGAGGAAAGGGAAAGUACAAGAUCUCACAAUCUUUUCAUGCCAGCUAUGAAAGGACAUCUCGUUUUCAAAGAGACAGCAGACCAUCAAGAGGAACUUUCUAAGAACAGCUAAAACUAUCUUCCUUUCUCAGGAACUGGGGAGACUGAAAAAUACGGAAAUUUAUGCUGAAUAAACUUCAAUAUUUCCGGGCAAGUAAGGCCAAUGUUUUGAAAAUGUAUUAUUUCAAAAUACGAUUUAAAUUAUUAAAUUACUUAAAUCUCAAUUGCUAAUUAUGAUUNAUAGCAAGGGUGGAAAGUUUGAUUAAAUUUAUCUCAAG